rnacentral:lncRNA from 1 species
UUAAAACUGUUUAUAUUGCUUUUUUUACACUUAUAAAGUUCUAAAUAAUAACAGAUUCACGGCGGCUGUGCUUGAACAGUCCCUUUAUUUGCCUGACAUUUACCUGACAGACCCAACAUGUAAACUGGCUGAAAGAGUAAAAAGAAUGAUGAGGCACCCAGCAUUCUCAGACAUGUGGAGGAAAGAAAUAGUACUGGAUCCGGCGUCCCUGAGACUUUUCGCCUUUAUUAAAAUGCACAAGCAUCCCAUUGCUGCCCGUCCAAUAGUAGAAAAAAUCAAAGCGCCCACAUAAAAGUUGGAGAGAGCAAUAGCGAGCUGGAUAAUGGAAAUUAACCAAAGUAUGCCCCACUCAGCACUCUCAACACACCAGGUCCUAACCAGGUUAAGAGAAAUAAAAUGGUCCCCUGAAAAUAUGUUAACAUCCUGUGACUUUAAGAAUUUGUACCCAGUACUGAAGAUAGAACCGGUAAGUCUCAUGCUAUAUAGAUUUUUGCUGGCCAAUACUUCACAAACUAAUGGAAGUCCGGAACUAUACACAGAGUUAGUCACAAUUCUAUGUC